rnacentral:misc_RNA from 1 species
CACCGGGAAAAAAGGUUACGAUAGCAAGCCCCUACCUUAUGGGAUAUUUGAAGAAGCGCGCAGGUUUGGAACCCUAUACAAAUACAAGGGGUUUUUCCCCAACCUAUACAAAGUGCUGGUCUCGAUCUCGCUUGGUGGUGCCCCUCUCGAUGAUUGUUGACUCAACAUUUUUUUCGUGCUUGAGUUGGAGGGCCCUCCCCCUAUCCAUCGAGUCAAGUAAUUCGCUAUCGGAAAUUUUUCCGCC